rnacentral:snRNA from 1 species
GGAUGUGAGGGUGAUCUGGCUGUGACAUCUGUCACCCCACUGAUCUCCAGGGUUGAUUUGGCUGAUCUGGCUGGCUAGGCGGGUGUCCCCUUCCUCCCUCAAUGAUCCAUGUGCAUCCCUCCCAAAGCUGCGCGCCCCGAUGAAGAGGACGACCACCCCCGAUGGAGGAGGACCGUUCCUCCGUCAAGGGUAUACAAGUAGCUGCGCUCCCCUGCUAGAACCUCCAAACAAGCUCUCAAGGUCCGUUUGAAAAGCACGCUGAUGCCUCACCUCCGUAGGGA